rnacentral:lncRNA from 1 species
AGUACUAAUCAAGUCAGGCCUCUCUCAUGGCGCAGGCACCUAGCUUGUGCAGAUACUUCCACUGUUGAGUGUGUACCUCUUCUCACACUCUCACCUUCAACUUAUCUUUUUGCUUUUUGUCAAGAGCAAAAUACUAGGGUUAUUAUGUAUUAGGCUUUAAAGUAAGCUUCUCCCUCUUGGCCUCUGUGUUGGCCAGGAAGAGGAAGAUGACAGUAGUCAACAUUUCUUGCUGUUCAUUAUUCUCAUUCCUUUUUUCCCUUUCUUUCUUUUUACGGUCACACCUGUAGCAUAUGGAAGUUUCCAGGCUAGGGGUUGAAUCAGAGCUGCAACUGCUGGCCUACACCACAGUCACAGCAACGCCAGAUCCAAGCCACAACUGUGACCUACACCACAGCUCAAGGCAUUGCUGGAUCCUUAACCCACUGAGUGAGGCCAGGAAUGGAAGCCGAAUCCUCGCAGAAACAAGAGUGCCCAGGAUCCAAAGUGCUUUUGGCAAGGGCCCCAGAAGUGGAUGCUGAAGGAGGGGCCAAGGUCAAGUGUGUCAAAUCAUGUCCUUUCUAGGCUACCUCCUGGGCUGCCAGCAUUCAGUGGGACCUUCUUUGAAUACGGGAGCAAUUUGAUAUAUUAUUCAGCAAACAAUAUAAUAGAAUGUACAAAUGAGCAGUACUUUCCUCUCCAUUAUAAGAGUUGCUGGGUAACUGUUUUCUCUUUUGCACGUAAACAUAGUGUCAACACAGUUUGGGUGAAUUUACUUAAGUAAUUAAUGGUGCAUCUUAACAAAGCCAUACUUCUGCUUAUAAUCCCCAUAUAGACCACUUAGCUUUCUUUUUUCUGUACUGACUGCUUGCACUCCCAAAUCUCGCAAAUCUAGGGCCUUGAUCACCAGGCUGCCGUUGAGAGGCUCUUGGUGGGUAAGUUUAUCUGUCUACCCAAUGGUGACUCUUUGUUUGAAUAGGAAUAGUGCAUUUCUUCGGAAAUAAUUUCAGUGUUCCUCUGAACCUCUGCCAAGUGUACUGAAAUUGUCGCCCUAACUGAAAUGCAAAAUGCACAAUAUUCUAUGCCUACAACCCCGAGUCAGUAAUUGCACACAUAACCUUGAAAGUGCAUUGAUUGCAAAGGCCUUUAUUGUUCGUGGAACCCUGCCACCUGGGGAGGGGACUUUGAACUUUAAGAGCACAGGAACUGUUUGGUCCCUGGAGUACCUUGUUUCGAAAUCUGGCUGAACCUCUUUGUUAGCUAUGAAAACUUGGGCAAGUCUUCACUUUUUUAAUGCUUCAUAUUCAUCAUCUAGAAUAUGAGAUAAGCAGUCAGUAAGUGUUAAGUACAAAACAAGAAAAUCCGUGUAAAAGCCCUCAGCAGUAUCUUGUAAAUAACAAAUACUCAAAUAAGUGUUAAUGCUUAUAAACACAUUAACUUCCAUCUUAGGGAAGGGAAAAUGAGGAUGUAGUAGGUGAAAUAAUUUAUCAAAUGAUUUGCCAGGUCUGGGUUCAUGAAAUAUUGAAAUAGAUUCUGCGCAAAAGUUAACUUUCUGCUUAUGGAGAGGUAGUUGAGAUCAUUGGUUAAACAACACAUUUAAUGUAUGAGGAAGAAAUGGAAAAGAAGAGCCAGAAUGAUUACAUUUUCAUUUUUAUUUUAAAAUUUUUGGCAAGAAUCACCUCACCAACCAGUCUGCAUGGUUUUCUUUGGCAGCAGAACACAGUUAAAGGUUCCUUGGCUCACAACAGAUCAUUGACCAAUUAGAUGAUCAUGGUGAGUAACUUACUGGCUCUGAACCAGUUUUUCCAUUGCAAAAAAGGGAUGAGAGAUCUUAGUUCAUUGGAUUCUCACGAGGAAUGUGUAAGAUAAUACAUGUGAAGGUACUUCCUAAUCCAUAAAAUACUUGAAAAAUUAUUACUAUUUGUGGCCGAAGGGUUUAAUAAUAAAUUUACAUAAUUCCUUGAAAACCAUUUAAGGAGUGAAUGCUGACAGAAAGAGUAGGCCCAGCUCUUCUUUUUCUGGAUCUAUGUUAUUGAUACCCUGCUGGACACCAGAUGAAGUAAGCCUGUUCUAAAGUCUCUCUCAUGGCAUGUCCACAAUUCUGCUCCCUGCCCUCACUGACCACAUAUGACAGAAGUACUAAUAGGCUGAGGAAGGACGAAAUCCUCCCUUUGAGUAUCUUGUUUCUUUUUCGGGGAAAGAGUCCCUCUCCUCAAAGAACUGAAAUCCAUUUCUUGAUAUGGAAGUUAUUGGAAAAAAUUAUUUGCAAAGAAAAUCUUACUAAAAAACAAAAACAAACAACUACCCAAAACCCACAAACAAAAAAAUCCCACUGAAUCAGAUGGCGUUAUUUCUUCAGAUUCAUUAGUUGGAAAAGAGCUGCCUCUCUUUAGGCACUGUGGGUGAGGGUCCUCCAAGCAUUUAUUUGUGAUAAUGGGUGAAGCUGGGUCACUCGACUUUAGCUGGAAAGGAUCCUCCAUCUACAGUUGGAAUGUUCCUCUUUUGAAAAUGAGAAAACUGAAGCCUGGAGUAUGUUAAAACUCCCAUUUUCAUAUCCAGUUUUAUGUCUUGCCAUAUCCAAGUUUUUAUUUUGUAUUUUAGCCAUGCAACAUUUAUUAUUUUAGUCUCUGCAGUGCUCUGUGUAUGUAUGCUUCUACCUCGGGGCGUUUGCACAUGUUAUUUUUAUGUCUUGAACAAAUCUCUCUCUUUCUCUACCCCUCCCUCUUUAUACCAUUUCGUGUGUCUAUAGCCUACCCCACAGUGAUUGAUAUUAUAGCACUUGUAAUUUAUCCAUCCGUCUGUCUCCUUCACCAGACUGUGCAUCUAAAGAGAAGGACCAUUUCACCACUUAAUAAUCCCCAAUGUAUUCCUUUUGCUCUGCCAAGUUCUUGGUUUAUUUUAAAUGUUCAACAAGUACUUGUGGAAUGAAAACAUAAAUGAAGAUGUGCUAAUACUU